GAGUUGGCUCCUCUAAAGGCCGUGUCGGCGCGUUUGCGCGUGGUGGACGGAUGAGGCGCUCUCUCCGAUAACCGAGGGAUCCUCUUGUUCGCUCGCCUUUUCCCGCUUCGUCUUUCUCGAGUUUCUUCGUGCAUCUCGCGCUGGUGCGCAGAAGUCCUUCUUUCGCGAGCUUCACGCAGCGUGCGGGGAUUGUCUGGCUGGCGGGCCAUGAUAAAGAGAAUAGAAUAGAGAGGUGAUAAGGAUAGGGGAGGAGAGGAUGGCGGGGGGGGGAGGGCAGCGAGAACGCAUAUGAGCACGCAGACCGUCCCUACCAGCACCGCGCCACUUCUCAUCAACGACAGCUUUGAAAAAAUGUGCUCACUGGGAUUGAAGAAGCUGCAGGGGGAAGACGUGACACAGCGCUCACCUUCCCCACCGCUUCUUUCCUUCUCCCCCCAUUCUCCGAGUUCAACAAACACGAAGGGCAAGGAAAGAUGAACUCCAGCACCUCAACGGCGCAUACGCAUACCCUCAGCGACGGCGCUGUGGAGAGCAGUCGCACGCACACAUUCCUGCACCCCCUCCCUCCCUCUUUUCUCUGAGACCGUCUUUUCGUCUUUAAAUGCAUGUGCAUCUUUGCUCUUUCUUUCUUCGCCAUUUUUUGCCUUCUCCCUCCCUCCAUCCACAUCCCCACCACCUCCUCCCUCGUUGUGUGUGUCCGUGUGUGCGUGCGUGUGUGUGUUGCCUUUUCGUUUCGUCUGGUUUUCCCUGCUCUUUCGUCCAAGAAACCUGUGCGCAUCGUCGCUUGUGGCGCUUUCACUUUACCUGCGUGUUCGUCGCGAGUCUUCUCGUGUGCCUCUCCUGUUCUGUUGCAGUUCUAGGCCAUAUCUACGCCACCCCCAUCCCACUCCUCACCUCCUUGAUGCGCGUGUGUGCGUGAGUGUGCGUCUCUCUUUUACUUUUUCAUUGCGCGUUGCCGAGGCCGUUCUCACGCAUCGGUAGAGUAGACAACGACGCAGCAAAGGAUGAAGGCGAAAGGAUGCCGUCCAGAGGACAGAAGAACCCUAACGCGCACGAAGCCACGCGUGCGUUGCCCCCCUUCCUUCCCCCUCACUGAGAGUGAGAUGUACGCUGACGUGUCUGUCUCUCUGUGCGUGUGUGUUCGCCUGCACGUCCCUCUCUCCCGGCCUUCUGUUUCUCCGUGAUUUCAGCUGCGCCUCGCUUCUUGGCCUCCCCCUUUCUUUUCCCAUUUUUCCAUUCUUUGCCAGAGCCUUGCCGCGCAGCCCGCCUGGCGCCACCAUCUUACUGUAGCUCUGCAGCUUCAAUACGUUGUCGCGCUGUGGGGGUGUGCGCACGCCUUGGAGGUGUGGCAACGGGCCAGCGAACACGGGAGAGGGUUCUUGUUUUGGGCAUGCACACAGACGACAGACGUCGCCAGCAAAAGACAUAUGCGGUGGCGUCUUUGCAAGCGAAGGGAGAGAAAAGACGGGAAAGAAAGUUUGACACGUGCGGCGCUUCCGCUCGCCUUACGACGUCCCCCUACACGGAUGGGCUGCUCAGACCCUCACACAUCAUGUCCCCCUCUCCCGCACACACACACACAUACGUAACGCUCACUCAUGCUUUGCCUUUACAUACGUGAAUACGCGUAUCUGCGUGUGUGAGUGAGCGAGAUGGAGGUUAACAGUUGGGCUGAUGCUGCGCUGCUGUCUCCUCAGCUACCAGGCGAUGCGCUUCCAGGAGAAGACUUCUCUCGCGAAAACAUGCGACUUAGACGCGAAUUAAC
rnacentral:misc_RNA from 1 species